AACGAACGCUGGCGGCAGGCCUAACACAUGCAAGUCGAACGCUCCGCAGGGGGGGUGGCUGACGGGUGAGUAGCGGGUGGGGAUCUACUCAUCCCUACGUAAUAACGCAGGGAAACGUGUGCUACUACCGGAUACGCCCUACGGUGGCAAGUUUUAUCGGGGAUGGAGGAGCCCGAGUUGGAUUAGCUAGAUGGUGGGGUAAAGGCCUAGCAAGGCGACGAUCCAUAGCUGGUCUGAGAGGAUGAUCAGCCACAUUGGGACUGAGACACGGCCCAAACUCCUACGGGAGGCAGCAGUGGGGAAUAUUGGACAAUGGGCGCGAGCCUGAUCCAGCCAUGCCGCGUGAGUGAUGAAGGCGUUAGGGUUGUAAAGCUCUUUCACCGGAGAAGAUAAUGACGGUAUCCGGAGAAGAAGCCCCGGCUAACUUCGUG
rnacentral:rRNA from 1 species